UCAACACAUGCCAUGUUAGAGUUGAGUUCGUUAUUUGAAUGAUGCAAUCAUUCGUCUUUAUCACAGGCGUAUUAUGCGCGUUGUACUUUGUCCCAGAGCGAUGUAAAGGAAUAAAAGCACCUCUCAGAUUAAGAGGGCCAUCCAGUGCAAAAGGCAUCGGUCGUGUCGAGGUAUUUUACAACGGAACCUGGGGGACAAUCUGUUUUCAUGAAUGGGAUAUGAAAGAUAGUACUGUUGCAUGUCGUCAGCUUGGUUACCCAUAUGCCAUUAGGUCUACACAUGCAAUAGAUCACCACCAAGUUCCAUUUGGAUGGUAUAAUGUACCUAUAUGGUUAAAUCAGGUCGCUUGUACCGGAGAUGAAAGAUAUAUUUCAAAAUGCUCUCAUCCAGGAUGGGGAAAAAAUUCUUGCUUGCACUAUACAGACGUGGGAGUACAAUGUUCUUUGACAGCGGGAAUAACUGUGUUAAUCUUUUGCUACACUCCUACCCAUGUGAAAGAAGGUGACGAUUUCAUAUGUACAUGUAGAGGUCUAGGUGCAGGAGGAGU